UCAGGACGAACGCUGGCGGCGUGCCUAAUACAUGCAAGUCGAACGGUCUUUCUAUGGAAGCUUGCUUCCACUGAGAAGAUAGUGGCGAACGGGUGAGUAACACGUGGGUAACCUGCCCAUAAGAGGGGGAUAACAUCCGGAAACGGGUGCUAAUACCACAUAGUUUUCUUGAUCGCAUGAUUGAGAAAGGAAAGACGGCCUUUGUGCUGUCGCUUAUGGAUGGACCCGCGGCGUAUUAGUUAGUUGGUGAGGUAACGGCUCACCAAGACGAUGAUACGUAGCCGACCUGAGAGGGUGAUCGGCCACAUUGGGACUGAGACACGGCCCAAACUCCUACGGGAGGCAGCAGUAGGGAAUCUUCCGCAAUGGACGAAAGUCUGACGGAGCAACGCCGCGUGAGUGAAAGAAGGUUUUCGGAUCGUAAAACUCUGUUGUCAGAGAAGAACAAGUUGGAGAGUAACUGCUCCAGCCUUGACGGUAUCUGACCAGAAAGCCACGGCUAACUACGUGCCAGCCGCCGC
rnacentral:rRNA from 1 species